GAUGAACGCUGGCGGCGUGCCUAAUACAUGCAAGUCGAGCGAAUGGAUUAAGAGCUUGCUCUUAUGAAGUUAGCGGCGGACGGGUGAGUAACACGUGGGUAACCUGCCCAUAAGACUGGGAUAACUCCGGGAAACCGGGGCUAAUACCGGAUAAUAUUUUGAACUGCAUGGUUCAAAAUUGAAAGGCGGCUUCGGCUGUCACUUAUGGAUGGACCCGCGUCGCAUUAGCUAGUUGGUGAGGUAACGGCUCACCAAGGCAACGAUGCGUAGCCGACCUGAGGGGGUGAUCGGCCACACUGGGACUGAGACACGGCCCAGACUCCUACGGGAGGCAGCAGUAGGGAAUCUUCCGCAAUGGACGAAAGUCUGACGGAGCAACGCCGCGUGAGUGAUGAAGGCUUUCGGGUCGUAAAUCUCUGUUGUUAGGGAAGAACAAGUGCUAGUUGAAUAAGCUGGCACCUUGACGGUACCUAACCAGAAAGCCACGGCUAACUACGUGCCAGCCGCCGCCGUAA
rnacentral:rRNA from 1 species